CGAACGGGUGAGUAACACGUGAAGAACCUGCCCUUCAGUGGGGGACAACAGUUGGAAACGACUGCUAAUACCGCAUAAGACCACAGUACCGCAUGGUACAGUGAUCAAAGGAUUUAUUCGCUGAAGAUGGCUUCGCGUCCGAUUAGGUAGUUGGUGAGGUAACGGCCCACCAAGCCUACGAUCGGUAGCCGGACUGAGAGGUUGAUCGGCCACAUUGGGACUGAGACACGGCCCAGACUCCUACGGGAGGCAGCAUG
rnacentral:rRNA from 1 species